UAUGAGCCUGCGAGUUAGCGGUAUGUGGCGAGGUUAACCCGAGGGGGGUAGCCGUAGCGAAAGCGAGUUCGAAUAGAGCGAUUCAGUCGCAUGCCCUAGACCCGAAGCGAAGUGAUCUAUCCAUGGCCAGGUUGAAGCGACGGUAAGACGUCGUGGAGGACCGAACCCACUUGGGUUGAAAACCGAGGGGAUGAGCUGUGGAUAGGGGUGAAAGGCCAAUCAAACUUCGUGAUAGCUGGUUCUCUCCGAAAUGCAUUUAGGUGCAGCGUUGCGUGUUUCUUGCCGGAGGUAGAGCUACUGGAUGGCCGAUGGGCCCUACAAGGUUACUGACGUCAGCCAAACUCCGAAUGCCGGUAAGUGAGAGCGCAGCAGUGAGACGGUGGGGGAUAAGCUUCAUCGUCGAGAGGGAAACAACCCAGACUACCGACUAAGGCCCCUAAGCGUGUGCUAAGUGGAAAAGGAUGUGGAGUUGCAGAGACAACCAGGAGGUUGGCUUAGAAGCAGCCACCCUUGAAAGAGUGCGUAAUAGCUCACUGGUCAAGUGAUUCCGCGCCGACAAUGUAACGGGGCUCAAGCACACCGCCGAAGUCGUAGGACUCGCAUAUUUGGUAGGCCUUCGUGGUCCAGCCAUGCGGAUCGGUAGGAGAGCGUCGUGUGGCGAGUGAAGCGGCGGGGUAACCCAGCCGUGGACGCCACACGAGUGAGAAUGCAGGCAUGAGUAGCGAAAGACAUGUGAGAAACAUGUCCUCCGAAAGACCAAGGGUUCCAGGGUCAAGCUAAUCUUCCCUGGGUAAGUCGGGACCUAAGGCGAGGCCGACAGGCGUAGUCGAUGGACAACGGGUUGAUAUUCCCGUACUGACGAAGAACCGCCCAAACUAAUCCAGUAGUGCUAAGAGUCCUAAUCCGGCAGAUGGAUCCCUUCGGGGUGAAGCAGCCGGCCUAACGCUCGACCCCAUUCUGGUGCGGUUAGCGUAUUAACAGGUGUGACGCAGGAAGGUAGCUGAGCCGGGCGAUGGUUGUCCCGGUGUAAGGAUGUAGGGCGAGAGAUAGGCAAAUCCGUCUCUCACAUAGCCUGAGAUCCGAUGCGUACCCCUCACGGGGGAAAUCAGUGAUCCUAUGCUGCCAAGAAAAGCAUCGACGCGAGGUUCCAGUCACCCGUACCCCAAACCGACUCAGGUGGUCAGGUAGAGAAUACCAAGGAGAUCGAGAGAAUCGUAGUUAAGGAACUCGGCAAAAUGCCCCCGUAACUUCGGGAGAAGGGGGGCCUGAGGCGUGUAGGGAUUUACUCCUGAAGCGUUUGAAGGCCGCAGAGACCAGUGGGAAGCGACUGUUUACUAAAAACACAGGUCCGUGCUAAGUCGCAAGACGAUGUAUACGGACUGACGCCUGCCCGGUGCUGGAAGGUUAAGAGGAAGGGUUAGCUUCGGCAAAGCUCUGAAUUUAAGCCCCAGUAAACGGCGGUGGUAACUAUAACCAUCCUAAGGUAGCGAAAUUCCUUGUCGGGUAAGUUCCGACCUGCACGAAUGGCGUAACGACUUCCCAGCUGUCUCAACCGCGAACUCGGCGAAAUUGCACUACGAGUAAAGAUGCUCGUUACGCGCAGCAGGACGGAAAGACCCCGUGACCUUUACUACAGCUUGGUAUUGGUGUU
rnacentral:rRNA from 1 species